GCGCGAAACCUCCGCAAUGUGAGAAAUCGCGACGGGGGGAUCCCAAGUGCUAUUCUUAACGGGAUGGCUUUUCUUAAGUGUAAAAAGCUUUUGGAAUAAGAGCUGGGCAAGACCGGUGCC
rnacentral:rRNA from 1 species